GAUGAACGCUGGCGGCGUGCCUAAUACAUGCAAGUCGAGCGAACGGACGAGAAGCUUGCUUCUCUGAUGUUAGCGGCGGACGGGUGAGUAACACGUGGAUAACCUACCUAUAAGACUGGGAUAACUUCGGGAAACCGUAGCUAAUACCGGAUAAUAUUUUGAACCGCAUGGUUCAAAAGUGAAAGACGGUCUUGCUGUCACUUAUAGAUGGAUCCGCGCUGCAUUAGCUAGUUGGUAAGGUAACGGCUUACCAACGCAACGAUGCAUAGCCGACCUGAGAGGGUGGUCGGCCACACGGGAACAGAGACACGUUACAGACUCCUACGGGAGGCAGCAGUAGAGAAUCUUCCGCAAGGGGCGAAAGCCUGACGGAGCAACGCCGCGUGAGGGAUGAAGGUCUUCGGAUCGUAAAACUCUGUUAGUAGGGAAGAACUUAUGUGUAAGUAACUGUGCACAUCUUGACGGUACCUAAUCAGAAAGCCACGGCUAACUACGUG
rnacentral:rRNA from 1 species